rnacentral:rRNA from 1 species
UACAGAGGGUGCGAGCGUUGUUCGGAAUUAUUGGGCGUAAAGGGCGCGUAGGCGGUGCGGUAAGUCACCUGUGAAAUCUCCUGGCUCAACUGGGAGCUUGCAGGCGAAACUGCCGUGCUGGAGUGUGGGAGAGGUGCGUGGAAUUCCCGGUGUAGCGGUGAAAUGCGUAGAUAUCAGGAAGAACACCCGUGGCGAAGGCGGCUCUCUGGUACGUGACUGACGCUGAGACGCGAAAGCGUGGGGAGCAAACAGG